rnacentral:siRNA from 1 species
ACAUCAUAAUCGCAAGUGCCC